UUGACGGGGGCCCGCACAAGCGGCGGAGCAUGCGGAUUAAUUCGAUGCAACGCGAAGAACCUUACCAAGGCUUGACAUACACCGGUAACGCCCAGAGAUGGGUGCCCCUUUGUGGUCGGUGGACAGGUGGUGCAUGGUUGUCGUCAGCUCGUGUCGUGAGAUGUUGGGUUAAGUCCCGCAACGAGCGCAACCCUCGUCCUAUGUUGCCAGCGGGUCAUGCCGGGGACUCAUGGGAGACUGCCGGGGUCAACUCGGAGGAAGGUGGGAUGACGUCAAAUCAUCAUGCCCCUUAUGUCUUGGGCUUCACGCAUGCUACAAUGGCCGGUACAAAGGGCUGCGAUACCGCGAGGUGGAGCGAAUCCCAGAAAGCCGGUCUCAGUUCGGAUUGGGGUCUGCAACUCGACCCCAUGAAGUCGGAGUCGCUAGUAAUCGCAGAUCAGCAACGCUGCGGUGAAUACGUUCCCGGGCCUU
rnacentral:rRNA from 1 species